rnacentral:rRNA from 1 species
UACGGGGGGGGCAAGCGUUGUUCGGAAUUACUGGGCGUAAAGGGCGCGUAGGCGGUUUGCUAAGUUGAAUGUGAAAACUCUGGGCUUAACCCAGAGCCUGCAUUCAAUACUGGCAGGCUAGAGUUCUGGAGGGGAUAGCGGAAUUCCUGGUGUAGCGGUGAAAUGCGUAGAUAUCUGCAGGAACACCCGUGGCGAAAGCGGCGAGCUGGAUCACUACUGACGCUGAGGAACGAAAGCUAGGGGAGCAAACAGG